rnacentral:rRNA from 1 species
GAAUCAUUAUAAUAAUUGAUAACAUAAGGGAAAAUAAUGAUAUUACCUUAUUAUUAGUGUCGUCCAAAACUGGUGCCAGAAGACUCGGUAAGGCCAGAGACACAAAYGUUAAUCGUCUUAAUCAGGCGUAAAGGGUUUGUAGGCGGCUUU